rnacentral:rRNA from 1 species
UACGUAGGGUGCGAGCGUUGUCCGGAAUUAUUGGGCGUAAAGGCUCGUAGGCGGUUUGUCGCGUCGGGAGUGAAAACACCGGGCUUAACUCGGUGCUUGCUUUCGAUACGGGCAGACUAGAGGCAUGCAGGGGAGAACGGAAUUCCUGGUGUAGCGGUGAAAUGCGCAGAUAUCAGGAGGAACACCGGUGGCGAAGGCGGUUCUCUGGGCAUGUCCUGACGCUGAGGAGCGAAAGUGUGGGGAGCGAACAGG